UGUGGGAGCUGGCUUGCCUGCGAUGACGGUGGUGAAUUCACUGAUGCCAUCGCAGGCAAGCCAGCUCCCACA
rnacentral:antisense_RNA from 1 species